rnacentral:rRNA from 1 species
AACGCGAAGAACCUUACCUAAGCUUGACAUCCCACUGACCUCUCCCUAAUCGGAGAUUUCCCUUCGGGGACAGUGGUGACAGGUGGUGCAUGGUUGUCGUCAGCUCGUGUCGUGAGAUGUUGGGUUAAGUCCCGCAACGAGCGCAACCCUUGCCUUUAGUUGCCAGCAUUAAGUUGGGCACUCUAGAGGGACUGCCAGGGAUAACCUGGAGGAAGGUGGGGAUGACGUCAAAUCAUCAUGCCCCUUAUGCUUAGGGCUACACACGUGCUACAAUGGGUGGUACAGAGGGCAGCCAAGCCGUGAGGUGGAGCAAAUCCCUUAAAGCCAUUCUCAGUUCGGAUUGUAGGCUGAAACUCGCCUACAUGAAGCUGGAGUUACUAGUAAUCGCAGAUCAGAAUGCUGCGGUGAAUGCGUUCCCGGGUCUUGUACACACCG